rnacentral:snoRNA from 1 species
CAUCCUUUAAAAGCAUUCAGUGAGCCUUUUGCUAAUGACUCAUUGAGUCACCAAGAAGGGGCAAAGUAAAAACACCACUUUUGAGUGACAGCAUGCUGUGUUCUUUUGCUUCAAUCAGUGGUGUGACAAUG